GGAAUCAACGCUGGCGGCGUGCCUAACACAUGCAAGUCGAACGAGAAAGUGGAGCAAUCCAUGAGUAAAGUGGCGCACGGGUGAGUAACACGUGACUAACCUACCCUUGAGUGGGGAAUAACCUAGGGAACCUGGGCUAAUACCGCAUAACACCUACGGGUCAAAGGAGCAAUUCGCUUGGAGAGGAGUUCGCGGCCGAUUAGUUAGUUGGCGGGGUAAUGGCCCACCAAGACGAUGAUCGGUA
rnacentral:rRNA from 1 species